UACGGAGGGUGCAAGCGUUAUCCGGAUUCACUGGGUUUAAAGGGUGCGUAGGUGGGUUGGUAAGUCAGUGGUGAAAUCUCCGAGCUUAACUUGGAAACUGCCGUUGAUACUAUCAAUCUUGAAUAUCGCGUAGGUAAGCGGAAUAUGUCAUGUAGCGGUGAAAUGCUUAGAUAUGACAUAGAACACCAAUUGCGAUGGCAGCUUACUUCACGAUCAUUGACACUGAGGCACGAAAGCGUGGGGAGCAAACAGG
rnacentral:rRNA from 1 species